UCAUUUAGAGGAAGUAAAAGUCGUAACAAGGUCUCCGUUGGUGAACCAGCGGAGGGAUCAUUAUCGA
rnacentral:rRNA from 1 species